rnacentral:rRNA from 1 species
AAAUUGAAGAGUUUGAUCAUGGCUCAGAUUGAACGCUGGCGGCAGGCCUAACACAUGCAAGUCGAACGGUAACAGGAAGGAGCUUGCUUCUU